rnacentral:lncRNA from 1 species
AUGGUGGAAGAUCACGCAGUGCUACGGACCACCCCACGUGGAGGCCGCUGCUCCCUCCUCUGCACUGUUAGAACUAUUCCCUGGGAGGUUUAUCAGGAACUCUGUGAACAAAAAGCUGCAGGAAGUCCGAUGGAAGCAUUUAUGAAAUGGAUAACCUUUGCAGGACUCUCACGAGUAGUGCGGUAAGAUUGCAGCGAUAAUUGUUCUUCUGAAAGGACAGCACUCUCAGGUAUAUCUAAAAUAAUGGAUUGAACAAGGCGAAUGUUUCUCAGAGAUAAGAAAAAUCCUUUGCUGAGAAUUUCGUCUGCAAUAAACUAGAAGUUAAGCUUCGUUGCUUAAUUUCU